UCCAACAGAUUCCAACUGCUGAAGGCCAAGUACAAGCUCGUUCCCUCCAGGGCUGCUGACAUCACAGUCCCACCCUGGAAUCUUCACCUUCCACACCUCACGGCGGUCUCGAGCCAAAGGCUUUCGCCUCUGUCAGAUCAACACUUCCUCCCCAAAAGAGACUCUGACUCCUGAUCAAUCGCCUUCCCUCCUCGUGAGUCUGAGGGCCACGGAAGACUCGCUGGGUGUCAGCGCUACAGGCUGGGGCACACUGCCAAGACAGCCGCCAGCCCUUCCAAGAUCCCAACUGCCCCGCAGAGACAGAGGGUGGCAGGCCGGUGCUCGGUUCUGGAGAGCGGCUGUCCGUGAAGACUUCCAUCUCAUGGUUCCUCAUCAGACUGUCCCACUCCCACGAUCCGGCCUUGAACUGAAGUGUGUUCCCACAGUGGAAGCUGCAGGGCCUGCUAGACCUUGAGCAUUGUGACAUGACAGUGUAAGGCAGUGACAGUGACGGAAGAGAGCAACGUCACAGACCCUGAAGUGGCUCCCGCUGGCUGGCAAGCAGGACCAGCAAGGCAAAGCACGCGAACACGUCCAGUUCCUCCUUCUCACUACUCCCUUGGCCCGCAAAUCUUUCUCACACUCCUUUCUCAACACAGCACUCCGGGAUGGAGCUGCCAACCCAUGCAAGCCGGCCCUGGAGAAUAAAUCUAUUUGCCUCUGUGGCUUAAGUGUUUUGGUCUCUCAAGGGGAAUUUCAGUUAUAAUGGAAGAGUUCCAGAGAAAUAAAUGUACCACUAGAGUAUCCUUCCAAACGUGCAAUUUCAGUCACUGGAGAAACUGAGUGGGAACACUAUUUUGGGGAAGAUUAGACAGAUCGACGAAAGUGCUCAUUUUACAGGCCCAGUGCUCGGAAAGGCCCCUACCAAGGUCCUGGGAGUGAUCCUGGCACUGAGUUCACAUUAUGGCGUUUCUGUGAAAUUUGUAAAAGUGAGGUAUUUUUGUAUCCUUUCCAACACGAGGGCCCCCAUGUGAUGUAAGGCUCAGACCUCACAAAAUCCCAGCGUCCCAACACUAUCUCCUGAGCAGCUGUGAGCUCCGGUUCCGAGGCAGACUGCCUACCUGGAGUCUAACCUCGUUUGUGCUGUAUUUUUUUUAUACUCAUAUAACAUCAGAAUUUGUUUUCCCUCCAAAUUGAAUACAAAAUCUGGUUAAGUUUUAGAAGAAGGAACACAAGAAAUAAAAACAAGUUUGGUUUUUAAAAGAACAAAAUAAUCAAAAUGUACUUCCCGCCGCAUCUGCAUGGGUAAGUCUAGGGCGGGGACGGGGACGCUCUGCUGAAUCACCGCCCCGCCAGAGACCUCCAGGGUUAGACCCCAUAGCAACUCCUUAAAAAUGCAGUGCUACUUUACACAAGGGACAAGGCAAGAGCAACCCACAAGCAGGAAGCACUGAAAACACAGAAUCAGAGAAGUAACAUUCAGUAGCAAAGAUGACAAUUCUAGCACCCCAGGUUGUAAAUGGAAUGCACUCCAGUGAAAACAGGAAAUAUUCUCAGUAGAAAGCUUUUUCGUAACCCAAGGAAGUCUUCCAGAAAGCACUCAGCCCUCAAGAUGCACUGGAAACCUCUCCCACAUCGCUCACGGGCAGGGCGUCUGCGGCGGGCCCAGGUGGAGCAACACUGCAGACUCCAGAGUGACAUCACCACAGCCACGGCCACACCCACUCCUGGACACAGAGACACGGCUGGAAGGUUGAGAAAGCAGGCAAGCUCAGCGCCGUGUGUGUUUCUACUAAUAACAAAGAAUUAGCAAUAACUUAAACAUGCAUCCACUGAGGAAAGGGAUAAAUUAAAAGUGGUGUAAGGAAACAAUGGAACACUAUCCCUCAAGUAGCUGAAGCAAGUAAUAAAACAUGGACUGCUAUCCAACUGCAUCAACCAAACUGCAACUGUUCCACUUGUUUAAGCUAAUUCUUUUUCAAAAAAUUUUUUUAUUUAUUUUUUUCCUUUUUUUAAUUUAUUAAA